AGAAGUGAGAAUGCCGGUGUGAGUAGCGAAAGACGGGUGAGAAUCCCGUCCACCGAUUGACUAAGGUUUCCAGAGGAAGGCUCGUCCGCUCUGGGUUAGUCGGGUCCUAAGCUGAGGCCGACAGGCGUAGGCGAUGGAUAACAGGUUGAUAUUCCUGUACCACCAUUAUUCGUUUUAAGCGAUGGGGGGACGCAGUAGGAUAGGCGAAGCGUGCUGUUGGAGUGCACGUCCAAGCAGUGAGAUUGAGUGUUAGGCAAAUCCGGCACUCUUAAGAUUGAGCUGUGAUGGGGAGAGGAACUUGUUCCUCGAGUCGUUGAUUUCACACUGCCGAGAAAAGCCUCUAGCUAGAAUAACGGUGCCCGUACCGCAAACCGACACAGGUAGUCAAGAUGAGAAUUCUAAGGUGAGCGAGCGAACUCUCGUUAAGGAACUCGGCAAAAUGACCCCGUAACUUCGGGAGAAGGGGUGCUCUUUGAGGUUCACGCUUCGAAGAGCCGCAGUGAAUAGGCCCAAGCGACUGUUUAUCAAAAACACAGGUCUCUGCUAAACCGUAAGGUGACGUAUAGGGGCUGACGCCUGCCCGGUGCUGGAAGGUUAAGAGGAGUGGUUAGCGCAAGCGAAGCUACGAAUCGAAGCCCCAGUAAACGGCGGCCGUAACUAUAACGGUCCUAAGGUAGCGAAAUUCCUUGUCGGGUAAGUUCCGACCCGCACGAAAGGCGUAACGAUUUGGGCACUGUCUCAACGAGAGACUCGGUGAAAUCAUAGUACCGGUGAAGAUGCCGGUUACCCGCGACAGGACGGAAAGACCCCGUGGAGCUUUACUGUAGCCUGAUAUUGAAAUUCGGUACAGUUUGUACAGGAUAGGUAGGAGCCUUAGAAGCGUGAGCGCUAGCUUACGUGGAGGCAUUGGUGGGAUACUACCCU
rnacentral:rRNA from 1 species